AUACGUAGGGGGCAAGCGUUAUCCGGAUUUACUGGGUGUAAAGGGAGCGUAGACGGAAGAUCAAGUCAGGUGUGAAAGGCAUGGGCUCAACCCGUGGACUGCACUUGAAACUGGUCAUCUUGAGUGUCGGAGGGGCAGGCGGAAUUCCUGGUGUAGCGGUGAAAUGCGUAGAUAUCAGGAAGAACACCGGUGGCGAAGGCGGCCUGCUGGACGAUCACUGACGUUGAGGCUCGAAGGCGUGGGGAGCAAACAGGAUUAGAUACCCUGGUAGUCCACGCAGUAAACGAUGAAUACUAGGUGCUGGGUCCCAGAGGAAUUCGGUGCCGCCGCUAACGCAUUAAGUAUUCCACCUGGGGAGUACGUUCGCAAGAAUGAAACUCAAAUGAAUUGACGGGG
rnacentral:rRNA from 1 species